AAAAAUUACAAAUUUUUUAUACUGUUAGAUGGAUAGCUUGGUUUUGGUUCUGAUGAAGGACGUGGCAAGCUGCGAUAAGCUUGGGCGAGCUGCAUGCAAGCGUUGAACCCAAGAUCUCCGAAUCAUUCCGAGAGGAAAAGAAACGCCGGGAAUUGAAACAUCUUAGUACCGGCAGGAAAAGAAAACAAAUAGUGAUGCCCUAAUUAGCAGAGAGCGAAAUGGGCAGAGGGCAAACUGAAUCUGCUGUCGAAAGAUGGUUAGAGAUGUGGUGAGCUAAAUUCCUAAGUUAAUGAAUCAAAUUCUCCUGGAAAGGAGAGCCUUAGAAGGUGAUAGCCCUGUAGAUUAAGAUAAUAUGGAGUUGCUCGACAGAGUAGGGCUUCCCGGAUUGGAAGUCUGAAUAUGGCACGAUUAAGUGCUAACCCUAAAUAAAACCAAAGUCCGAUAGCGCAAUAGUACCGCGAGGGAAAGCUGAAAAGUACUCUUAAUAGAGAGUUAAAAGACUUGAAAUCUAUCAGUUACAGUUGGUUAGUGCUCUCUCACAAUUUUUGUGAUGUAGAGUUCUAACGUACGUUUUGAAGAACGGGCCAGGGAGUUUUUUUGUGUGGCGAGGCUAAUCUUUUUUAAAGAGUAACCGAAGCGAAAGCAAGUGUGAAAGCGCGUUAGUCACAUGGAUCAGACCCGAAGCCAGAUGAUCUAUUCAUGGACAGGAUGAAGUCUCUCGAAAGGGGGAUGGAGGUCCGAACCGGUGUUGUGUACAUGCACUUGGAUGAUCUGUGAAUAGGGGUGAAAUGCCUAUCUAAUUUGGCGAUGGCUGGUUCCUGUUGAAAUAUGCCUUCGUAUAGUCUUAUCUAGCUGGUUUACGGGGUAAAGUACGGAUGGAAUUCGCAGGAUCUAUUGAUUACGGAAUUCUUUCCAACUCAGAACCUGUAAAUUGCUUAAAAUAAGAAACAGGGUGUGUAUGUAAGAUACACUUCCGAGACCGGAACAACGGAGACCAAAGUUAAGGUCCCUAAAAUUAUGCUAAGUGUAACGAAAGGUGUUUUGAACCUGAGACAGUAGGGAUGUAAGCUCAGAAGCAGCUAUCAUUUAAAGAAAGCGUAACAGCUCACCUAUCGAGGUUCGAAGCCCUGAAAAUGGACGGGGCUCAAGCAUAAUACCGAUACUUUGGAGAUGCUCGGUUUGAGCAUUCUGGUAAACAGGCGUCUUUUCUGCGUAGAAGAUUUUUCUAAAGAAAGGUUGGAGCAGGAAGGAACGAGAAUCCUGGUAAUAGUAAGAUGUAAUUUUCUUGAGAAUAGAAAAUGUCGAAAGGGCAAGGUUUCCUUGGCAAUAUACGUUAGCCAAGGGUUAGUCAGCACCUAAGUUGUAUCUUAACUGAAUACGACGAUGGAAUACAGGUUAAUAUUCCUGUACUGAUUAAAUUCGUUCAGUGCACAUUAAGCUUUCGGACAAGCAAGAUUCUGAAAGGAAUUUCGGCAAAGAUAUUUGUUGAGCGUAAUGCUAAGAUGCAAAUGAAUUUGUCGACGAGAAUUGCUGAUUCCGAGAGUCAGUGAAAAUUUUGUGUAUAGAGUUUAAUUAGCUGUACCCUACAACCGACGCUGGUGCCCAAGCUGAGAAAGCUAAGACAUGUAAGGUUCAAACUGGUUAAGGGAAUUCGGCAUAUUGGCCCCGUAGCUUCGGCUGAAGGGGUGUCUAUAAUUGUCUUUUUCAGAAAUGUGAAGGCAUUUGUAGAUCUCAGUAACAAGGAUGGCCCGACUGUUUACCAAAAACGUAGCUAAGUGCUAAUCCGAAAGGACUUGUAUACUUGGUGAGACCUGCCCAGUGAUGGUGUCAAAAACUCUCUUUCAAGGGAGCUAACGCCCAUCAAACGGCGGGGGUAACUAUGACCCUCUUAAGGUAACAUUAUGAUUGCCUUAGUAAAAUCUGACUAAAUGCUGGAAAAUCCGAGAAUAUUUGAAUACUCGUCGAUAAAUUAAAAAUUAUCGUCAGUGAAAAUUUUAAAUUGCGGACAAUCAGCAGGAAAGAUUAGAAUUAAUUCUAAAAUCCUCAGAGACUAUACGUCAGAAUUCAUUUAAUGAAUAAGAUAUAGUCCGAACUGAAUGGCGACAUUCAGAAAAUAUUAGAAAUAAUAUUUCGUCAAGAAAUUGACAGUAACAUAAUUGAGCGUAAUGCCUUGUCGUCUGAAUGGCGACGUGCAUGAAUGGUUUAACGAGGUUAUCACUGUCCCUAGCCAGGACCUUCUGAAAAUAUUGUCCGGUGAAGAGACCGGAGACGCCUAGUGGGAAGCGAAGACCUUGUAGAACUUUACUGCAACUUGCCGUUGUAAUUUUAAGUUGAGUGCAUAGAAUAAGUAGGAGCAUCGAAGCCAACUUUUUGGAGUUGGUGGAGCAAAAGUGUAAUACUACUCAUUUUUCUUAAAAUUGCUUACUCUUUUAGAGGACACCGGCAGGCAGGCAGUUUGACUGGGGCGGUGCCCUGUCGAAAAAGUAUCGAUAGGACCCAAAGACAAACUCAUCCAGCUUGGAAAUCUGGAGUUGAGUGCGAGGGCAAAAGUUUGUCUGACUGUUUUUCGAUCAGCAAGAAAAACAGAGGCGAAAGCCGGGCCUAGUGAACCCACAUGCUUUUUUAAUAGAAGCUGUGUCUGAUAGAAAAGUUACCUCAAGGAUAACAGGCUUGUCGCCCCCGAUAGUCCACAUUGACGGGGCGGUUUGGUACAUCGCUGUCGGCUCUUCCUAUCCUGCGCGUGCAGAAGCGUGCAAGGGUGUCGGAGUUCACGCAUUAAAAGGGAUCGUUAGCUGGGUUAAGAACGUCGCGAGACAGUUUGUAUGAUAUCUACUAGGCGUGUAGUUGUCUGAGUGGAACGAGUUUAUAGUACGAGAGGAACUAGACUCGGAUGCCUCUGGUGAGCAGUUGUUAUGAGCAGGCUGCGUAGCUACGCAUUAUUGGAUAAGAGCUGAAUGCAUCUAAGCUCGAAACCAUCCGCGAAACGAGACAACAAAGGCCGUCGUAAAAGACGACGUUGAUAGAGUUGAAGUGUAAGAUUCGAGCUCGCAAGGGCGAGAAUUUCAGCUUACAACUACUAAAAGCCUCAAUUGUAAUUUUG
rnacentral:rRNA from 1 species